rnacentral:miRNA from 1 species
CAGUUAAAUAUGAAUUCCAGAGGGGAAAAAAUGAAUUUUUUUAGUGUAAGUAUAUGCCAUGCAAUAUUCGGGACAUACUUAUACUAAAAACUGUUUCACCAUUUCCCUGAAACUUAAAUUUCACU